CUUUCCUGGACCUCUGGUAGAGAAGAAAGGCUGUGGACUAAGUAUGUGGCCUGUGUUUCCAAGCAGGAAAGUGCCAGAGAGGAAUGGCUUCUUCAACCCUUGUGCCAGAGAGGAGAAACUGGAAAAAAGUUGGAAAGCAAGAGGAAGAGAUACAUGCCACUGAUAGGACAGACAGAAAGAACUCUGGUACUUUUGGCUUAAACAUAUAAACCAAACCAAACCACAAAAACUUUCAAGCAUUUUCAGUCAUCAAAAAUUUUCUAAGCAGCUGUAAGGGACUUGGAAAUAGAAUGGCAGUGUUUAAAUUAUUACCUUUCUCUUGUCAAAGACUUCACCUUGAGCAAAAGACGAAGUAUCCAAUCCUAAAAGAAAGUCAUCAUCAUAUGGAACAGCAAGUUCAAGUCUUAGCAGUAUAUCCAUAGCAAAUGCUUCAAAGCCUUCUGGAUUUCACAUCAUACCUGUGAAGGUUCUGUCACCCACAUGCAUUUCACUUCUGAAGAAAAAGACAAGCGACACUUUGUGAAACAACUCAUCUACUUACCAAGCACAAAUGCAUGUUUCGUAUGUAUGAAAUAGUUUUCUCUUUGGCAUUCUUUGUUUUACACUUCACAGUACUCCCAAGCAUAUUUUUGUACCUUUUAUAUAGUACCAACAGUGUUUCUUACAAGACUGAAAUGAUUAUAUUUUCACAGUAUAUUUUAGUCACAAAAGAUCACAAAAAAAAAAAAAAAGAUUUACCAGUUAAGAAAAAUAUGUAAAAUAUAUAUUAGCAAAAAAGCUUAUAUAUAUAUAUAU
ensembl:lncRNA